rnacentral:rRNA from 1 species
ACUGUAGAGGGGGGUAGAAUUUCAGGUGUAGCGGUGAAAUGCGUAGAGAUCUGAAGGAAUACCGGUGGCGAAGGCGGCCCCCUGGACAGAUACUGACACUCAGAUGCGAAAGCGUGGGGAGCAAACAGGAUUAGAUACCCUGGUAGUCCACGCCGUAAACGAUGUCUACUUGGAGGUUGUGGCCUUGAGCCGUGGCUUUCGGAGCUAACGCGUUAAGUAGACCGCCUGGGGAGUACGGUCGCAAGAUUAAAACUCAAAUGAAUUGACGGGGGCCCGCACAAGCGGUGGAGCAUGUGGUUUAAUUCGAUGCAACGCGAAGAACCUUACCUACUCUUGACAUCCAGAGAACUUUCCAGAGAUGGAUUGGUGCCUUCGGGAACUCUGAGACAGGUGCUGCAU